rnacentral:rRNA from 1 species
AACGAACGCUGGCGGCAGGCCUAACACAUGCAAGUCGAACGCUCGUAGCAAUACGGGAGUGGCAGGCGGGUGAGUAACACGUGGGAACCUUCCCUAUGGUUCGGAAUAGCUCAGGGAAACUUGGGGUAAUACCGGAUAAGCCCUUCGGGGAAGGAUUAUCGCCAUUGGAUGGGCCCGCGUCGGAUUAGCUAGUUGGUGAGGUAACGGCUCACCAAGGCAACGAUCCGUAGCUGGUCUGAGAGGAUGAUCAGCCACACUGGGACGUGAGACACGGCCCAGACUCCUACGGGAGGCAGCAGUGGGGAAUAUUGGACAAUGGGCGGCAAGCCUGAUCCAGCCAUGCCGCGUGAGUGACGAAGGUCUUCGGA